rnacentral:rRNA from 1 species
UAGGGAAUCUUCGGCAACGGGGGGAACCCUGACCGAGCAACGCCGCGUGAGUGAAGAAGGUUUUCGGAUCGUAAAGCUCUGUUGUUAAGGAAGAACGAGUGUGAGAAUGGAAAGUUCAUAUUGUGACGGUACUUAACCAGAAAGGGACGGCUAACUACGUGCCAGCAGCCGCGGUAAUACGUAGGUCCCGAGCGUUGUCCGGAUUUAUUGGGCGUAAAGCGAGCGCAGGCGGUUAGAUAAGUCUGAAGUUAAAGGCAGUGGCUCAACCAUUGUAGGCUUUGGAAACUGUUUAACUUGAGUGCAGAGGGGGGGAGUGGAAUUCCAUGUGUAGCGGUGAAAUGCGUAGUUAUAUGGAGGAACACCGGUGGCGAAAGCGGCUCUCUGGUCUGUAACUGACGCUGAGGCUCGAAAGCGUGGGGAGCGAACAGG